GGAUAACUUACCCUUAGGACCGGGAUAACUUUGGGAAACUGAAGAUAAUACUGGAUAUUAGGUUAUGCCUGGAAUGGUUUACCUUUGAAAUGUAUUUUUCGCCUAAGGAUAGAUCUGCGGCUGAUUAGGUCGUUGGUGGGGUAAUGGCCCACCAAGCCGAUGAUCGGUACGGGUUGUGAGAGCAAGAGCCCGGAGAUGGAACCUGAGACAAGGUUCCAGACCCUACGGGGUGCAGCAGGCGCGAAACCUCCGCAAUGUACGCAAGUGCGACGGGGGGAUCCCAAGUGUUAUUCUUAACAGAAUAACUUUUCAUUAGUGUAAAAAGCUUUUAGAAUAAGAGCUGGGCAAGACCGGUGCCAGCCGCCGCGGUAACACCGGCAGCUCUAGUGGUAGCAGUUUUUAUUGGGCCUAAAGCGUCCGUAGCCGGUUUAAUAAGUCUCUGGUGAAAUCCUGCAGCUUAACUGUGGGAAUUGCUGGAGAUACUAUUAGACUUGAGAUCGGGAGAGGUUAGAGGUACUACCGGGGUAGGGGUGAAAUCCUAUAAUCCUGGGAGGACCACCUGUGGCGAAGGCGUCUAACUGGAACGAUCUUGACGGUGAGUAACGAAAGCCAGGGGCGCGAACCGGAUUAGAUACCCGGGUAGUCCUGGCCGUAAACGAUGUGGACUUGGUGUUGGAAUGGCCUCGAGUUGUUCCGGUGCCGAAGGGAAGCUGUUAAGUCCACCGCCUGGGAAGUACGGUCGCAAGACUGAAACUUAA
rnacentral:rRNA from 1 species